GUUUGGAAACUUUGUUUCGUGCGCUUCGAUGGCUCAGAUUUGUGCGCCAUGAGAGGAAAUCUGGGAUUCAUAGCCAAGGAUUGUUCCACGAAAUUGUUUAAUGCUAACAAAAAUGCCGAUCGUUCAUCAAGGACUUCUUCACGGGGACAAAUUUAAAUUUAUUUCGCCAUUCCACAAUUACACCGAUGCACUUCCGCGAAGGACAAACUAAAGAAGUUCGAUCAACGGUGUUAAAUUGUCCUGUAUCUGUUCCUAUCUGCAACAGGAACAAAAUUAUAACCCAACUAAAACUCAA